GGCCGGAGCAGGAAAUGGGAAAUGGCUAAGUAGGGAGGAGCUAUUCCCCAGAGCAGACGGACGGUGACUCAGCACUGGGACUCAGGCCCAUGCACGAAAGGAAAGAGCUCAGAGUUUUACCCCCUGGGCAGCACGGAUGGCUCUGGAGCGAGCCACACGCCUCUGCGGGGCUCUUGGAGAGGAAAGUUCUAGCAGUAGACAACAUCAGCACCUUGCACUGCAGGGCUGGGUGCUCAGACGCCCGCUGCAUUCAGGCUGGGGCAACAGGCUGCCUGGAGCCGGGACAGUGCGCGUGGUGCUCAGAGCUGGAGAUGCAGAGAUCAAGACAGCUGGGAUAUCUUUGCAUUUACAUGGACGGAUCCGGAGACCGGGAGGGUAGAACAGCUGACCUGGACUCGGCUACCACAAGGAUUUGUGUUGCCAGCUAUUAUAAAACUAUUAGCUGUUAGGGGGUCGCUGCUGACUGUCACACCAUGACAACUUACUUUGUUUACGAGCUUUGGUGACGGACCUCGUCAAAGUCUUUCUCAAAGUCCAAGUACAAUCUAUCCACUGGAUCCCCCUUGUCCACAUGCUUGUUGACCUUCUUAAAGAAUUCUAGUAGAUGGGUGAGGCAUGAUUUCCCUUUACAAAAACCAUGUUGACUCUUCCCUAACAAAUCGUGUUCAUCACUGUGUCUGAUCAUUCCGUUCUUUACUGUAGUUUCAACCAAUCUGCCUACCACUCAAGUUGCUGGGAUUGCCACUGGAGCCUUUUUUUAAAAAUUGGCAUCACAUUAACUAUGCUCCAGUCAUCUGGUACAGAAGCUGAUUUAAAUGAUGGGUUACGUACCACAGUUAGCAUUUCUGUAACUUCACACUUGAGUUCCUUCAGAACUCUUGGGUGAUACCAUCUGGUCCUAGUUACUUAUUACUGUUUAGUUUAUCAACUUGUUCCCAAAACUCCUCUAAUGACACCUCGAUCUGGGACCGUUCCUCAGAUUUGUCACCUAAAAGAAUGGCCCAAGUGUGGGAACCUCCCUGUGAGGCAGUGGGAAUGUUCUAGCUGUGUUAUGUGAGUGCUGAGUGGGGAGUAUUGACCUGGGAAGGCUGCAGGGGAGUUGUGAUGAGACUGUCUGCCUGGGGGAAGGGAGCACACCUGAGCAUGUAGCCUGAGAACCCAGGAGGGGGGUUGAAGGCCAGGUGACACCUCUGACGCUGAACAAAGGAAAAAGGCUGGGGGAGUUUUCAGUUUGAAGGUGGCUGGGAAAUGGAGAGGGGCCCCGACGGGGCUUGGGCUUUCCAAAGGGGCUGUGGCCUCCCUGGGGGCCCCAGAUGAACCUAACUAAAGGGGUCCUGUUGUCUGUGCCUGCAAGACCAGUCCUGGACUGUGCUCCUGUCGUCUAAAUAAACCUCUGUGUUACUAGC